GGGUGGACCAGGUACCUCGGGGCUGAAGGGUGCCAGUGGAGAUUCUGGGCCAAAGGGUCCUCACGGACUGCCAGGUAUCACCGGUCUGAACGGACGGUCAGGGAAAAGGGGGCAAGCGGGUACAGACGGCGGUCGAGGUGCGAUCGGAGAGACCGGAUCAAAGGGGGACAGAGGGUUCGAUGGCUUACCAGGUCUCCCUGGAAACCAAGGACAUAAGGU